CAUCUAUGGACCAGGUCCCUUUCUAUGGCCAGGACCUCUUCCCUUGCUAAGCUAUGAUUUGAUAUUAUGGGAUCUCUGCACAUAGAAUUCAAGUUCAGGUGGGAAACUGGUCUACAUAGGCUGUGGACACUUAAAACAUAAAGACUGCAACUGCUACAAAGAUCCCGUACUCAGAGGAGGGAGUGAUGAUCAUCUUGACAGUGCCAGCUGGAAGCAAUGUCAUGUACAGGAUGCCCAUCUCUAAUACAGGCCCAGCUGCUGAAAUGGAGAGAAGGCAAAGCACAAGGAAGAUGUAACUGGCAGGAGCAGAAUGGUAACUGCAGCAGUGAGGAGGUGCUGUGGGGUUAUUAAAGCUAAACUACAACAUGUGCCGACGUCAGAUGGAGCAAUCUGCCUCCUGCAGCAUCCUAGAAAUAUGUAUAAACAUAGAUGCCUUUCUGAGGGCACUAAAAAAAACCACUUGGCUUAGUGAAAGCAAACGCAUUACAUCAGAAAAAAUUAUGUUACACUAAGAUUGUUACACUCUAUGCAAGA